rnacentral:sRNA from 1 species
CAGCUUCUAUUGUGAAAUAAACACAGAAGUUGGGCCUCAUUGGGCCUCCACCACCUCCACUGUCAUCAGAUGAAUGGGAGAAGAAAGAACCAGUAUCAAACCCGAGUGAUACACGAUGGGGCCCGCCUGUUCAGAAUCAAGUGUGCGACCAGAAUCCAAGCCUACUGGAGAGGAUACGUUGUUAGAAAGUGGUACAGAAACCUGAGGAAAACAGUACCUCCCACAGACGCCAAGUUAAGAAAAAAAUUCUUUGAAAAAAAGACACAAGACUGGAAACCAGCUUAAUUUUUCCCAUCUCCUGGGCUAUACAUAAAUGAAGACAUCUGCUGCACAUCUCAUAGUAAUGAAAAUAGAAGCCACCUACAAAAAUAAAGCGCCCACAUGCUACCAU